GCCCGUCAGGCGUUAUUGGGUAGAGGAUGCACCGGCCCAUUAUCCUUCCACUGCAGAGAGGAGGAGGUUUCCGUUGCUCUGUAAAGCCAGCCUCACGCGGUGCCCUCCAAUCUAAGGACCAGGAAGCCUCUGCCUUCGCAAAGAAUCCACGACACAACUCACCACUUGGAACGGGCAAGCCA